UGGCUCAGGACGACGCUGGCGGCGUGCCUAAUACAUGCAAGUCGAACGGUCUUUCUAUGGAAGCUUGCUUCCACUGAGAAGAUAGUGGCGAACGGGUGAGUAACACGUGGGUAACCUGCCCAUAAGAGGGGGAUAACAUCCGGAAACGGGUGCUAAUACCGCAUAGUUUUUCUUGAUCGCAUGAUUGAGAAAGGAAAGACGGCCUUUGUGCUGUCGCUUAUGGAUGGACCCGCGGCGUAUUAGUUAGUUGGUGAGGUAACGGCUCACCAAGACGAUGAUACGUAGCCGACCUGAGAGGGUGAUCGGCCACAUUGGGACUGAGACACGGCCCAAACUCCUACGGGAGGCAGCAGUAGGGAAUCUUCCGCAAUGGACGAAAGUCUGACGGAGCAACGCCGCGUGAGUGAAAGAAGGUUUUCGGAUCGUAAAACUCUGUUGUCAGAGAAGAACAAGUUGGAGAGUAACUGCUCCAGCCUUGACGGUAUCUGACCAGAAAGCCACGGCUAACUACGUGCCAGCCGCCGC
rnacentral:rRNA from 1 species